GAUGAACGCUGGCGGCGUGCUUAACACAUGCAAGUCGAACGGAAAGGCUCCUGCUUGCAGGGGUACUCGAGUGGCGAACGGGUGAGUAACACGUGGGUGAUCUGCCCUGCACCUCGGGAUAAGCCUGGGAAACUGGGUCUAAUACCGGAUAGGACCACAUUUUGGAUGGUGUGGUGGAAAGUUUUUCGGUGUGGGAUGAGCUCGCGGCCUAUCAGCUUGUUGGUGGGGUAAUGGCCUACCAAGGCGUCGACGGGUAGCCGGCCUGAGAGGGUGUACGGCCACAUUGGGACUGAGAUACGGCCCAGACUCCUACGGGAGGCAGCAGUGGGGAAUAUUGCACAAUGGGCGCAAGCCUGAUGCAGCGACGCCGCGUGGGGGAUGACGGCCUUCGGGUUGUAAACUCCUUUCGCUAGGGACGAAGCGCAAGUGACGGUACCUGGAGAAGAAGCACCGGCUAACUACGUG
rnacentral:rRNA from 1 species